CAGAAUAUAGUUUAAUAAAAAUAUUAAUUUUGGAGAUUAAAGAUAAAUAACCUUAUUUUAUUCUGA
rnacentral:tRNA from 1 species